UACGAAGGGGGCUAGCGUUGCUCGGAAUUACUGGGCGUAAAGCGUGCGCAGGCGGUGAUGUAAGACCGAUGUGAAAUCCCCGGGCUUAACCUGGGAACUGCAUUGGUGACUGCAUCGCUCGAGUAUGGCAGAGGGGGGUAGAAUUCCACGUGUAGCAGUGAAAUGCGUAGAGAUGUGGAGGAAUACCGAUGGCGAAGGCAGCCCCCUGGGUCAAUACUGACGCUCAUGCACGAAAGCGUGGGGAGCAAACAGG
rnacentral:rRNA from 1 species